UACGUAGGCAGCAAGCGUUGUUCGGAGUUACUGGGCGUAAAGGGUGUGUAGGCGGUUUAUUUAAGUUUGGUGUGAAAUCUCCCGGCUCAACCGGGAGGGUGCGCCGAAUACUGAAUGACUUGGAGUGCGGGAGAGGAAAGUGGAAUUCCUGGUGUGAGCGGUGAAAUGCGUAGAUAUCAGGAGGAACACCGGUGGUGUAGACGGCUUUCUGGACCGUAACUGACGCUGAGACACGAAAGCGUGGGUAGCAAACAGG
rnacentral:rRNA from 1 species